ACAGUUCCUUUCAAUUAGUUUCUGAGGUAUAUUACUAUGUGCAUUUCCAGCUAUUCCUCACCUGUCUGCUCAUAAACCCAUAAGUUCACUGCUCUUCUUUGAAAGAGCAACGCCUUCUUUCAUGUGAAAUCUUAAUCUCUACGAGAAUGAAGACUCUAAUCAAGUUGACUUCACUUUUUGGUGAAGUUAGUGAUACUUGAUCGCCACCAUCCACAUCACCAUUUUCACCUCCUGGGAAAAGAAACUGACUUUUUGAUGAUACAAUGAAUGAAGGAGCAGACAAUAUGGAAGCGAACCAUGUAAAAAGGGUUUUAGAGAGGGCAUUAUUAUCUAAUGGCCGUACAGAUGGGUACCAUACAGCAGUGAGCUGCAUGUUCAAAUUUAACGGGACUACAUUAUCUGCUACAAGCCAAGAAUAAGUUUAGCAGAAAUUGGAUAAAAGGAGAUAAAAGUUGUAGCGUAAUCUUCUGAACGUUCUUUUCUUGCAUUCAAGAGGGUGAGCCCUUAUUUCCUGAUGCCUCUCUUCGCGAUGGCCACCGGGUGAGUGUCACGGUGAGAUUAGGAAGCUGGGAAAGGAGGAGUUGAUGGCGUAAGCAAACAAUUUAUGGUGUGGUUUGUGUGCGCGAG